AACGAACGCUGGCGGCAGGCCUAACACAUGCAAGUCGAACGAGAAGCCACCUUCGGGUGGUGGACAGUGGCAGACGGGUGAGUAACGCGUGGGAACGUGCCUUUCGGUUCGGAAUAACCCAGGGAAACUUGGGCUAAUACCGGAUACGCCCUUCGGGGGAAAGAUUCAUCGCCGAAAGAUCGGCCCGCGGCGGAUUAGCUAGGUGGUGGGGUAAUGGCUCACCAAGGCGACGAUCCGUAGCUGGUCUGAGAGGAGGACCAGCCACACUGCGACUGAGACACGGCCCAGACUCCUACGGGAGGCAGCAGUGGGGAAUAUUGGACAAUGGGCGAAAGCCUGAUCCAGCCAUGCCGCGUGGGUGAAGAAGGCCUUAGGGUUGUAAACCCCUUUCAGCGGGGAAGAUAAUGACUGUACCCGCAGAAGAAGUCCCGGCUAACUCCGUGCCAGCAGCCGCAGUAAUAC
rnacentral:rRNA from 1 species